GUCUUUUAAGCUCAUGUGUGACACCUAGCCUGUCAGUCUGCCAGUCAGCUGUGUCUUGGGUAGCCGGCCUGCAGCCCAGCUUGCAGGAUGAGAGCCCAUUGGUGGAGCUGUGUGUUAGGACUGCUCUGCAUACCUGCUGAAGUUGCAAUCAGCUUUAGCCUGGUUUCUCAAGAGCCCCGUCCAUCUCUCUAAUGAGAGGUAACUCAUCUGCUGAGAUCACAUGCUCCACAUCACUGCUUGGUGCACAGGGGUUCACCUUGCACAGGUUCUUCAAUGGCAACAGGCAGAUUGUAUACCUGUACUUGGUGAAUGGAGCAGUCGCCAAGACGACUAUAGCUUCAGAAUUUAAGCAGCGACUUCGUGUAUCUCCAGUCAAUAUCAGUGAUGGCCAGGGGUUCACCUUGCAAUUCUCUCUGCUGGGAGAGAAGGACACGGAUGUCUACUUCUGCAGCUGGAGCUACAUAACACCAACUACAAUUACACACCUGGAAAAGGCACCAUUAUCAUUCUAAGAGAAAAAGAUCCCAAGGAACAAUGCAAGAAUCACAUUUUGAAACACAUCUUGAUCGUCUCGAGUGUUACAGCAUUCACUGUCAUAUUUGUAUCCAUCAUUGGAGCACUCAUAGUGAGAUGCAAUCAAUUCAAAGCACAUUUUAGACCCGCCAAAGUCGAAAUACCAGCCAGACCUACCAGGCCUCAGCCUGUUUCUCCUCAGCAGACAUUUCAACAUCGUCCAUACCUGACCACAUCGUUAUGCUCUAUGGAACACAGGGGCCUCCUGUGAUCCUAAGAACGGAUGCCAUGGUAAAGCCAUGAGAUGAAUAAUUUGAGAAAAGUUCAUGGCUCAGAGGAUUUGUAAUAGAGUGUAUGUUUUGAGUCAGAAGCUCACCAUAUGUUCUCAGCACAGAAAAAAUGUCUCGCAUUUUGCCUUGCUUUUCAUUUCCUGUCAUGUAAAAAUGUAUGUUUGUUUGCACAAAAAUGAUCGAGCUACCACAUCCUGGCUGAUACAGAUGUGUGAUGCAUGUAAACAGUGUAAGCGAGAAGAAAAAAAAAAGCAGAGCUUUGUUAUUCUACUUCAACUGUUACAUUACAUAAGCUAUACUGUGGCAUUUGCUGGUAUAUGUGUUUUCUUUGUAGGUCAUAUAAAGAGUUUUAUAUUUUUGAACAAGUGUGCCUGAUUUGAUGUGAACAUUAAAUGUAAGCUUUUUACAAUUUCA